GACGAACGCUGGCGGCGUGCCUAAUACAUGCAAGUCGAACGAGAGCGACCGGUGCUUGCACUGGUCAAUCUAGUGGCGAACGGGUGAGUAACACGUGGGUAACCUGCCCAUCAGAGGGGGAUAACAUCCGGAAACGGAUGCUAAAACCGCAUAGGUCUUCGAACCGCAUGGUUUGAAGAGGAAAAGAGGCGCAAGCUUCUGCUGAUGGAUGGACCCGCGGUGCAUUAGCUAGUUGGUGAGGUAACGGCUCACCAAGGCCGUGAUGCAUAGCCGACCUGAGAGGGUGAUCGGCCACAUUGGGACUGAGACACGGCCCAAACUCCUACGGGAGGCAGCAGUAGGGAAUCUUCCGCAAUGGACGCAAGUCUGACGGAGCAACGCCGCGUGAGUGAAGAAGGUUUUCGGAUCGUAAAACUCUGUUGUUAGAGAAGAACAAGUGCUAGAGUAACUGUUAGCGCCUUGACGGUAUCUAACCAGAAAGCCACGGCUAACUACAUG
rnacentral:rRNA from 1 species